rnacentral:rRNA from 1 species
UAAGCCUGAUGCAGCCAUGCCGCGUGUAUGAAGAAGGCCUUCGGGUUGUAAAGUACUUUCAGCGGGGAGGAAGGCGAUAAGGUUAAUAACCUUGUCGAUUGACGUUACCCGCAGAAGAAGCACCGGCUAACUCCGUGCCAGCAGCCGCGGUAAUACGGAGGGUGCAAGCGUUAAUCGGAAUUACUGGGCGUAAAGCGCACGCAGGCGGUCUGUCAAGUCGGAUGUGAAAUCCCCGGGCUCAACCUGGGAACUGCAUUCGAAACUGGCAGGCUGGAGUCUUGUAGAGGGGGGUAGAAUUCCAGGUGUAGCGGUGAAAUGCGUAGAGAUCUGGAGGAAUACCGGUGGCGAAGGCGGCCCCCUGGACAAAGACUGACGCUCAGGUGCGAA